UCUGAAGUAUCCCUUAGGAUAGCUGGAGCUCAUGUUGAGAGUUUUAUUAGGUAAAGCAAAUGAUUAGAGGCAUUGGGGUGAAACACCCUUGACCUAUUCUCAAACUUUAAGUAGGUAAGAUAGGGUUCCUCCAGUUGAACCCUGAUGUUUGAAUCUAAGCUCCAAGUGGGCCAUUUUUGGUUAAGUAGAUUGACUAGGCCAAUUCUGGUACGUUUGUCUGGGGUGUAGGA
rnacentral:ncRNA from 1 species